GACGAACGCUGGCGGCGUGCUUAACACAUGCAAGUCGAGCGGUAAGGCCCUUUCGGGGGUACGACGAGCGGCGAACGGGUGAGUAACACGUGGGUGACCUGCCCUCAGCUCUGGGAUAAGCCUGGGAAACCGGGUCUAAUACUGGAUAUGACUCCAUGACGCAUGUUGUGGGGUGGAAAGCCUUGUGCGGCUGAGGAUGGGCCCGCGGCCUAUCAGCUUGUUGGUGGGGUGANGGCCUACCAAGGCGACGACGGGUAGCCGGCCUGAGAGGGCGACCGGCCACACUGGGGACUGAGACACGGCCCAGACUCCUACGGGAGGCAGCAGUGGGGAACCUUGCGCAAUGGGCGAAAGCCUGACGCAGCGACGCCGCGUGAGGGAUGACGGCCU
rnacentral:rRNA from 1 species